UUCAUUCAUUCAUUAUUCAUUCAGGAGCUGUCAUCGACAUAGACCUCCGGCUGGUCGGUUGUGAGGCAUGAGGGAGAGGAGGGGCCAGGAGUGUCUCGCGGAAGGGUUGAUGAUGGAGCAGGGGAGUGGAGUGCUGACGAAUGAGAUGAGGGGCUGAAGACGGGUGGACUAGAAGAGGCUACCCAUGGAGAGAGUUCCAGGAGGCAGAAGUGCGGCCAGACCGAAGCUGGAGAAAGAGCGCAGCCAGAGAGGGAAAGGCAGCCAGGCUGCAGGAUAGUGAUGGGGGCCAAGGGCCCUGCUGCACACUUGGACAGGAUGAACUUGGCCCACAUUUUGUAGAAUCUGCAAAAGCCCCGGGUUCUCUCAAAAUGUCACAGUGGUAACUUGGAGCCCCUGGACUCCCCCAAUUCCUCCUUCGGCAUUCACCCUCCUCCAGGGGUUUCCCCAUAAUUGGCCUGAAUGGUGCCCUUCCCAUUCCCCCAACGUGUCCCUCCCAUAACUCCUCAAAGUUCAGGAUACACCAGGC
rnacentral:lncRNA from 1 species